UCUCGAGUGGUCUAGUGAUUACGAUACCCGUAUUCUGUUGCCUAAUAAAACCGGGGGACCGGGGUUCGAGUCCUCGCUCGUGGC